AGAGUUUGAUCCUGGCUCAGGACGAACGCUGGCGGCACGCUUAACACAUGCAAGUCGAACGAGAGAAGAGAAGCUUGCUUUUCUGAUCUAGUGGCGGACGGGUGAGUAACACGUGAGCAAUCUGCCUUUCAGAGGGGGAUACCGAUUGGAAACGAUCGUUAAUACCGCAUAACAUAAUUGAACCGCAUGAUUUGAUUAUCAAAGAUUUAUCGCUGAAAGAUGAGCUCGCGUCUGAUUAGCUAGUUGGUAAGGUAACGGCUUACCAAGGCGACGAUCAGUAGCCGACCUGAGAGGGUGAUCGGCCACAUUGGAACUGAGACACGGUCCAAACUCCUACGGGAGGCAGCAGUGGGGAAUAUUGCACAAUGGGCGAAAGCCUGAUGCAGCAACGCCGCGUGAGCGAUGAAGGCCUUCGGGUCGUAAAGCUCUGUCCUCAAGGAAGAUAAUGACGGUACUUGAGGAGGAAGCCCCGGCUAACUACGUGCCAGCAGCCGCGGUAAUACGUAGGGGGCUAGCGUUAUCCGGAAUUACUGGGCGUAAAGGGUGCGUAGGUGGUUUCUUAAGUCAGAGGUGAAAGGCUACGGCUCAACCGUAGUAAGCCUUUGAAACUGGGAAACUUGAGUGCAGGAGAGGAGAGUGGAAUUCCUAGUGUAGCGGUGAAAUGCGUAGAUAUUAGGAGGAACACCAGUUGCGAAGGCGGCUCUCUGGACUGUAACUGACACUGAGGCACGAAAGCGUGGGGAGCAAACAGGAUUAGAUACCCUGGUAGUCCACGCCGUAAACG
rnacentral:rRNA from 1 species